GAUGAAGAACGCAGCGAAAUGCGAUACGUAGUGUGAAUUGCAGAAUUCAGUGAAUCAUCGAAUCUUUGAACGCACAUUGCACCUCUCGGUAUUCCGGGAGGUAUGCCUGUUCGAGCGUCAUUUGUACCCUCAAGCUCUGCUUGGUGUUGGGUGUUUGUUCCGCCUCUGUGUGUGAACUCGCCUCAAAACAAUUGGCAGCCGGCGUACUUGUUUCGGAGCGCGGCACAUUUUGCGAUCCAGAUCAACGUACAGCGGCAUCCAAGAAGCCUUAUUUAACGCUCUUGACCUCGGAUCAGGUAGGGAUACCCGCUGAACUUAAGCAUAUCAAUAAGCGGAGGA
rnacentral:misc_RNA from 1 species